rnacentral:rRNA from 1 species
GUCCACGCCCUAAACGAUGUCAACUGGUUGUUGGGUCUUCACUGACUCAGUAACGAAGCUAACGCGUGAAGUUGACCGCCUGGGGAGUACGGCCGCAAGGUUGAACUCAAAGGAAUUGACGGGGACCCGGCACAAGCGGUGGAUGAUGUGGUUUAAUUCGAUGCAACGCGAAAACCUUAACCCACCUUGUACAUGUACGGAAGAUUUAAGAGAUUAGAUUGUGCUCGAAAGAGAGCCGUAACACAGGUGCUGCAUGGCUGUCGU